rnacentral:rRNA from 1 species
UACGAGGGGUGCAAACGUUAUUCGGAAUCACUAGGGCGUAAAGGGUGCGUAGACGGUGCGUUAAGUCUGUUGUGAAAGACUCUGGCCUAACUGGAGAUGUGCAAUAGAUACUGGCGUGCUAGAGGGUGGAAGAGAGAAGUGGAAUUCCCGGAGUAGCGGUAAAAUGCGUAGAUCUCGGGAGGAACACCGAUGGCGAAAGCAGCUUCUUGGUCCAUUCCUGACGUUGAGGCACGAAAGCGUGGGGAGCAAA